CUAAGAAUAUUCCGCAAUGGACGAAAGUCUGACGGAGCGACGCCGCGUGGAUGAAGAAGGCCGCAAGGUUGUAAAAUCCUUUUGCUGGGGAAGAAUAAGUCCAGGAGGGAAUGCCUGGAUGAUGACAUGAACCGGCGAAUAAGCCCCGGCCAACUACGUGCCAGCAGCCGCGGUAACACGUAGGGGGCAAGCGUUGUUCGGAAUUACUGGGCGUAAAGGGCAUGAAGGCGGUUUAGUAGGCUUGGCGUGAAAGACCACCGCUCAACUGUGGGGUUGCGUUGAGAACUGCUGAACUUGAGGUACGGAGAGGGAGCUAGAAUUCCCGGUGUAGUGGUGGAAUCUGUAGAGAUCAGGAAGAAUACCGAUGGCGAAGGCAAGCUUCUGGCCGAUAACUGACGCUGAGGUGCGAAAGUGUGGGGAUCAAACA
rnacentral:rRNA from 1 species